GGUGUGCUAAUACCGCAUACGCUCUGAGGAGGAAAGCGGGGGACCUUUGGGCCUCGCGUUAUUCGAGCGGCCGACGUCUGAUUAGCUAGUUGGUGGGGUAAAGGCUCACCAAGGCGACGAUCAGUAGCGGGUCUGAGAGGAUGAUCCGCCACACUGGGACUGAGACACGGCCCAGACUCCUACGGGAGGCAGCAGUGGGGAAUUUUGGACAAUGGGCGAAAGCCUGAUCCAGCCAUGCCGCGUGAGUGAAGAAGGCCUUCGGGUUGUAAAGCUCUUUUGUCCGGGAGGAAAUCCCGCAACCUAAUACGUUGCGGGGAUGACAGUACUGGAAGAAUAAGCACCGGCUAACUACGUGCCAGCAGCCGCGGUAAUACGUAGGGUGCAAGCGUUAAUCGGAAUUACUGGGCGUAAAGCGUGCGCAGGCGGUUUGAUAAGUCAGAUGUGAAAUCCCCGGGCUUAACCUGGGAACUGCGUUUGAAACUGUCAGGCUAGAGUACGUCAGAGGGGGGUGGAAUUCCACGUGUAGCAGUGAAAUGCGUA
rnacentral:rRNA from 1 species